rnacentral:rRNA from 1 species
GACGAACGCUGGCGGCGUGCUUAACACAUGCAAGUCGAACGAAGAGCGAUGGAAGCUUGCUUCUAUCAAUCUUAGUGGCGAACGGGUGAGUAACGCGUAAUCAACCUGCCCUUCAGAGGGGGACAACAGUUGGAAACGACUGCUAAUACCGCAUACGAUCUAAUCUCGGCAUCGAGGAUAGAUGAAAGGUGGCCUCUACAUGUAAGCUAUCACUGAAGGAGGGGAUUGCGUCUGAUUAGCUAGUUGGAGGGGUAACGGCCCACCAAGGCGAUGAUCAGUAGCCGGUCUGAGAGGAUGAACGGCCACAUUGGGACUGAGACACGGCCCAGACUCCUACGGGAGGCAGCAGUGGGGAAUCUUCCGCAAUGGACGAAAGUCUGACGGAGCAACGCCGCGUGAGUGAUGACGGCCUUUCGGGGUUGUAAAAGCUCUGUUAAUCGGGACGAAAAGGCC